rnacentral:guide_RNA from 1 species
AUAUAAAACGACAACAGCAUAUCGGGUGGUAGAACAAGAAGAAGAAAU